rnacentral:SRP_RNA from 1 species
GCUGGGCAUGGUGGCACAUGCCUGUAGUCCCAGCUACUCAGGAGGCUGAGGCAGGAGAAUCGCUUGAACCCGGGAGGCAGAGAUUGCAGUGAGCCGAGAUCAUGCCACUGCACUCCAGCCUGGGUGACAAAGCGAGACUCCGUCUCAA